UUUUAUCAAAUUACAUAGUAUUGUUCUAAAACACUCUAAACAUGUUCAAUUUCCUUAAUUUUAUUGCUGUUUAAUUUACUGUAUUGACAACAUUAUUGAAACUGUCAAGCCAUUUCAGUUAAGGGAGGUUUUACUGUACCUAUUUGCCUUAAAUGGCAACAUUUUAAAACAAACACACACUACACAAACAGUUGCACUAGAUUUUCUCCUGGUUAAAAAUGUACUACCACAGCUUGUUCGAUUAAAUAACCGCAGGCUCAGUUGUCAGUAUUUCAAUGUUUUCUCUAAACAACUGCAAUAUUUGUAAAGCUGAUAUUUUUUGAACAAAAGAUAUCUUGCAUUGCAUCUCAUUUCACAUAUUAAUAACAAUCCUAUAAACCUUUCAAUAACAAGCACAUAAACCUUUCAAUAACAAGCAAUAUUUAUAAUUGAAGCACUUCAACUGCUGUCUGAAGAUUCUGCAAUGGUGUCAGGUAGUCCAGAACUGGAUAUUCCCUAGCAAUACAUUGUCCAUACAUUACCCAUUUUAUACACACACGAUGUGCAAAAGUAUUUAACAACUCCUAAAAUAGAGUAUUUGUAAAUGCACUUCUAUAUUGCAUGAUGAUUAUUAUGGGUUAUGUUGUUCUGUUCUUUAAAUGACAAAAUACUAAUUAAAUUCAACGUUUUUUUAUCUUAUCAACUCUUUUCCAUGAUCUUAUUUUACUUUUUAUCUAUAUUACAGGUAACAAAUAGAAUUUCAGCAAAUUUUAAAGGUUAUUUUUAUAAUUUUUUACAAAUUUACAAAAAUAUUUAAUGUCAUUUGUCAAUUGUCAAAAUAAAAGAUUCCUUUCAACCAAACCUGCUAAAAUCUACUAUAUUUUCUACCAGAUUCUAAAAUCUACUAGAUGUAAAAUUUUCCCACUAAAUCACAAGAAAUUCUACUAGAUCUAGUAGAAAAUCUACUAAAUUGGCAACCCUGACACCAACCACUAUGACACCGUGGUGGGAUCACGAUCAGUAGAAUGGUAGAAUGCUGACGUCACAAAAAUAAUUCUACAAUCGACAAUUUUGGUAUCACGUUAACACGCUUGGGAAAGUAGAAUCGGUGCUCGGCAAUGUUCGGAUAUUCUACUAGCCGUGUUAAAAAUAUCGCUUCUUCUUCUUAAAAAUAUUGCUGUUUGACGUGUGGUUGUCUUUAUUUUGUGGUGGUUGUAUUCCAAAAAGCUAACCUAAAGAUUAUUAUUUGUGAUUAUUUGCAAUUUGUUUAUUUUUGUCUUAUGUUGUUUGGAACUAUUUUAUUAGAAAUCACUAAAUUUUUGGAUUUUACCUGUGACUAGGGAACAUUGUUAUAUAAAGUCUUGGUAUGAAACGAUGUUAAGACAAUACUGUGUGCUUUUUCAGUCCUAUGAAAGAAAAUAUUUUGGAUGUAACAGAGAAGUACUACAACUUUGUUAUGAAGAUUUGUCUUUAUGUUAUUUUUAUAAUGUUCAUGGAUUAUAUUUGUUUUUAUGUUUUCUUCAGUUUAAAUAAAGUUUAUGUUUUACCCA